rnacentral:rRNA from 1 species
UGCCUACGGGGGGCAGCAGUGGGGAAUUUUGGACAAUGGGCGAAAGCCUGAUCCAGCAAUGCCGCGUGCAGGAUGAAGGCCCUCGGGUUGUAAACUGCUUUUGUACGGAACGAAAAGCCUGGGGCUAAUACCCCCGGGUCAUGACGGUACCGUAAGAAUAAGCACCGGCUAACUACGUGCCAGCAGCCGCGGUAAUACGUAGGGUGCAAGCGUUAAUCGGAAUUACUUGGCGUAAAGCGUGCGCAGGCGGUUUUGGAAGACAGUGGUGAAAUCCCCGGGCUCAACCGGGGAACUGCCAUUGUGACUGCAAAGCUAGAGUGCGGCAGAGGGGGAUGGAAUUCCGCGUGUAGCAGUGAAAUGCGUAGAUAUGCGGAGGAACACCGAUGGCGAAGGCAAUCCCCUGGGCCUGCACUGACGCUCAUGCACGAAAGCGUGGGGAGCAAACAGGAUUAGAUACCCUAGUAGUCC